CAGAGACGCUACCUCUCUCCUUCUUUCUCACCCAAUCUAUGCCUUUCCCUCUCUCCCCCCACCCUCUACACCAAACCUGAGGCAACCCUCCCACUCGCUUUCUGAAGGCUAGGGUUUCCGAUUAAGAACCGCGAUACCUUUCUGAACCCCCAUUGGUAAGAGCUACUGCAAAGUAAUAUAUAUAUAUUAACAGAUAAUCAACGAAGUUUCUAGAGAGAGAAGCUGAGUACAAAAUUCACGGCUCUAGCUCGACGGGUUCCGUUCUGUUGUGAAACAGAUUUUCUUAGGUAAUGUGUUUCUUAUCUCGGGAGUUUUGUAAGUUUGCAAUUUGAAGCAAUAAGCCUUCUUGCAUAAGAUUUUCUUGGGUAGUGUGUUUCUUAUCUCGGGAGUUUUGUAAGUUUGCAAUUUGAAGCAGUAGCCUUCUUGCAUAAGGUAAGAAAGCCGACUGUAAGCCUUCUUGCAUAAGGUAAGAGCUACUUCAGAGCUACACCAAACCCGAGGCUUCUACCUGUGCAAGGACGGACGAAUAUGGAAGGAGCGAGUAUCUGCAGGAACAGGGGUGCGGAGGAGGGCCGAUUUGCCAGUUAUGCAAGAGGGGACCCCCAUGGAAUCUGAGUCUGUGGGACCCAAACCACGGCGCCCAUCUAACCGUAUG